CUACUCACUUUGGCAGCACAUAUAUUAAAAUUGGAAAGAUACAGAGCAGAUCAGCAUGGCCCCUACACAAGGGUGACAUGCAAAUUCAUGAAGCAUUCCAUAUUUUU
rnacentral:snRNA from 1 species